rnacentral:pre_miRNA from 1 species
AUACUACUCCCUCCGUCCCAAAAUUCUUCUCUUAGAUUUGUCUAGAUACGGAUGUAUCUAAUACUAAAACGUGACUUGAUACAUCCGUAUUUAGACAAAUCUAAGACAAGAAUUUUGGGACGGAGGGAGUACUAG